rnacentral:rRNA from 1 species
ACGAACGCUGGCGGCGUGCCUAAUACAUGCAAGUUGAGCGCUGAAGGUUGGUACUUGUACCAACUGGAUGAGCAGCGAACGGGUGAGUACCGCGUGGGGAAUCUGCCUUUGAGCGGGGGACAACAUUUGGAAACGAAUGCUAAUACCGCAUAAAAACUUUAAACACAAGUUUUAAGUUUGAAAGAUGCAAUUGCAUCACUCAAAGAUGAUCCCGCGUUGUAUUAGCUAGUUGGUGAGGUAAAGGCUCACCAAGGCGAUGAUACAUAGCCGACCUGAGAGGGUGAUCGGCCACAUUGGGACUGAGACACGGCCCAAACUCCUACGGGAGGCAGCAGUAGGGAAUCUUCGGCAAUGGACGAAAGUCUGACCGAGCAACGCCGCGUGAGUGAAGAAGGUUUUCGGAUCGUAAAACUCUGUUGGUAGAGAAGAACGUUGGUGAGAGUGGAAAGCUCAUCAAGUGACGGUAACUACCCAGAAAGGGACGGCUAACUACGUG